rnacentral:rRNA from 1 species
AACGAACGCUGGCGGCGUGGAUAAGGCAUGCAAGUCGAGCGCGAAAGUCCCCUUCGGGGGAUGAGUAGAGCGGCAAACGGGUGAGUAACACGUGAGUAACCUGUCCUUGGGUGGGGGAUAACCCCGGGAAACCGGGGCUAAUACCGCAUGAUGUUGUUCCCACACAAGUGAGAAUAACCAAAGGGGGGGACCUUCGGGCCUCCCGCCUGAGGAGGGGCUCGCGCCUGAUUAGCUAGUUGGUGGGGUAACGGCUCACCAAGGCGAUGAUCAGUAGCCGGUCUGAGAGGAUGGCUGGCCACACUGGGAUUGAGAUACGGCCCAGACUCCUACGGGAGGCAGCAGUCUAGAAGCUUCGGCAAUGGGCGAAAGCCUGACCGAGCGACGCCGCGUGCAGGACGAAGGUCUUCGGAUUGUAAACUGCUUUCGACGGGGAUGAAGGUAAGAGGGCGAAUAACCCCCUUAUUUGACAGUACCCGCAGAAGAAGCCCUGGCUAACUCCGUGCCAGCAGCCGCGGUAAAAGUACUCUA